rnacentral:rRNA from 1 species
AGAUUUAUCCUCGUACCUUUUGCAUCAUGAUUUAGCUAGAACCGUCCAAGCAAAGAGCACUUUAGUUUGGAACCCCGAAACUACGUGAGCUACUCCAAGACAGCCUAUUUAUAGGGCGAACCCGUCUCUGUGGCAAAAGAGUGGGAAGAACUUCGAGUAGGGGUGACAGACCUAUCGAACCUAGUUAUAGCUGGUUGCCUGAGAAAUGAAUAGAAGUUCAGCCUCCUAGCUUCUACCUUCACCCCAAUACAACCAAUUGAUAUUAAAGAAGCUAAGAGAGUUAGUCAAAGGGGGUACAGCCCCUUUGAAACAAGAUACAACUUUCCCAGGAGGGUGUGGAUCAUAAUUAUUAAGGUAAAAUGUUAUGGUGGGCUUAAAAGCAGCCACCCUGAUAGAAAGCGUUAAAGCUCGAACAUUAACCUUCUCCCAUGUAUUUAGAUAACAAAAUCCCAACGCCCUAAUAUUAUCAGGCUACCUCAUGCAAACAUGAGAGUAUUAAUGCUAAUAUGAGUAAUAAGAGAGGCAUGCCUCUCUCCUUGCACACAUGUACA